AGGGACCCGCACAAGCGUGGAUGAUGUGGAUUAAUUCGAUGCAACGCGAAGAACCUUACUACCCUUGACAUGUCCGGAACUUGCCAGAGAUGGCUUGGUGCCCGAAAGGGAAUCGGAACACAGGUGCUGCAUGGCUGUCGUCAGCUCGUGUCGUGAGAUGUUGGGUUAAGUCCCGCAACGAGCGCAACCCUUAUCAUUAGUUGCUACGCAAGGGCACUCUAAUGAGACUGCCGGUGACAAACCGGAGGAAGGUGGGGAUGACGUCAAGUCCUCAUGGCCCUUAUGGUAGGGCUUCACACGUCAUACAAUGGUCGGUACAGAGGGUUGCCAAGCCGCGAGGCGGAGCCAAUCCCACAAAGCCGAUCGUAGUCCGGAUUGUUCUCUGCAACUCGAGAGCAUGAGGUCGGAAUCGCUAGUAAUCGCAGGUCAGCAUACUGCGGUGAAUACGUUCCCGGGUCUU
rnacentral:rRNA from 1 species